AAUUUUUUAAAAUUUCUUUUGGUAAAUACUCAGAGGUACAAUUGCUGUAUAUAUAGAAGAGGAGAAACAUAGGUGGACAUACGCCUGGUACACAUUUGCACAUUGCCUGGUGGGAAGCCUGUCUAACCCAAGCAAAGAAGAAGAAAAGCAAUCUGGAGUGUGAAUGGCCAAGGCAUUUGACUCAAUAACUAUAACUCUGGAAUGAGUGGCUGGGUGGAGACAUCAGUCUGUUGGAAAGUCGGUGGGUUUGUUCAAGCCGUAUGCUGGAAGGAGAGACUUUGCGAUGGAGUCACGCAGCAGAUCUAAGAAGUGUUACCAUGUAACUCGUUGCACAGAAGCAGCUGACAAAGAAGAAUGUAAAGGAUAUUGAAGACAGCACUGUGAUGCGCGUUAGACGUCAACUGCUUGUGAUUUUGGGGUCCACA